CAGCAGCCACGGUAAUACGGAGGGUGCAAGCGUUAAUCGUAAUUACUGGGCGUAAAGCGCACGCAGGCGGUCUGACAAGUCAGAUGUGAAAUCCCCGGGCUUAACCUGGGAACUGCAUUUGAAACUGUCAGGCUGGAGUCUUGUAGAGGGGGGUGGAAUUCCAGGUGUAGCGGUGAAAUGCGUAGAGAUCUGGAGGAAUACCGGUGGCGAAGGCGGCCCCCUGGACAAAGACUGACGCUCAGGUGCGAAAGCGUGGGGAGCAAACAGGAUUAGAUACCCCUGUAGUCCCUGUCUCUUAUAC
rnacentral:rRNA from 1 species